AUUGAUUUUUCUAUCGUUUGGGAUUAUACUGUUCUUGUCUGGCGACAGACUAUGAUACUAAACGGCAGAUGGAAUAAGCGAUGUGGACUCGGGGGCAGUACCCGACACCUCCACCAUUUCACGGGGGUGACACAGAUUCGACACACGUGGUAAAGGUUUGUUCUUGUAUCCGGCAUUGUACCGCCGUUAUCGGGCUAAAUUUUAAAUGCGAAUGAUAAUUUCGCUCCUGUUGCCGUCGCUGCGUAAGUAGCCGGGCAACAACCUAAAUUCCUUUUGUGAUGAGAACAGAAGGUGGGGUUGGCGUUUUCCUAGCAACAGAAAAACG
rnacentral:tmRNA from 1 species